UACGGAGGGUGCAAGCGUUGUCCGGAAUCACUGGGCGUAAAGGGCGCGUAGGCGGCUCAUGAAGGCUGUGGUGAAAGUCCGGGGCUCAACCUCGGAUCGGCCGUGGCGACUCGUGGGCUGGAGCACUGUAGAGGCGGGUGGAAUUCCGGGUGUAGCGGUGGAAUGCGUAGAGAUCCGGGAAGAACACCAGUGGCGAAGGCGGCCCGCUGGGCAGUGGCUGACGCUGAGGCGCGACAGCGUGGGGAGCAAACAGG
rnacentral:rRNA from 1 species